rnacentral:rRNA from 1 species
GAUGAACGCUGGCGGCGUGCCUAAUACAUGCAAGUCGAGCGAACGGACGAGAAGCUUGCUUCUCUGAUGUUAGCGGCGGACGGGUGAGUAACACGUGGAUAACCUACCUAUAAGACUGGGAUAACUUCGGGAAACCGGAGCUAAUACCGGAUAAUAUUUUGAACCGCAUGGUUCAAAAGUGAAAGACGGUCUUGCUGUCACUUAUAGAUGGAUCCGCGCUGCAUUAGCUAGUUGGUAAGGUAACGGCUUACCAAGGCAACGAUGCAUAGCCGACCUGAGAGAGUGAUCGGCCACACUGGAACUGAGACACGGUCCAGACUCCUACGGGAGGCAGCAGUAGGGAAUCUUCCGCAAUGGGCGAAAGCCUGACGGAGCAACGCCGCGUGAGUGAUGAAGGUCCUCGGAUCGUAAAACUCUGUUAUUAGGGAAGAACAUAUGUGUAAGUAACUGUGCACAUCUUGACGGUACCUAAUCAGAAAGCCACGGCUAACUACGUG